rnacentral:rRNA from 1 species
ACUGCGAGUGAGCGGGAAAAGCUCCAAAUUUAAAAUCUGGCGGCCUCCGGUCCGUCCGAGUUGUAGUCUGGAGAAGCGUUUUCCGCGUCGGACCGUGUAUAAGUUUCCUGGAACGGAGCGUCAUAGAGGGUGAGAAUCCCGUCUUUGAACACGGACUGCGAUGCUUUGUGAUGCGCUCUCGAAGAGUCGAGUUGUUUGGGAAUGCAGCUCAAAAUGGGUGGUGAAUUCCAUCUAAAGCUAAAUAUUGGCGAGAGACCGAUAGCGAACAAGUACCGUGAGGGAAAGAUGAAAAGCACUUUGGAAAGAGAGUUAAACAGUACGUGAAAUUGUUGAAAGGGAAACGAUUGAAGUCAGUCGCGUCCGCCGGGACUCACCCUUGCAUUCUUGCUCGGUGUACUUUCCGGUGGACGGGCCAGCAUCAAUUUUGACCGUCGGAAAAGGAUCUGGGAAAUGUGGCACCUUUCGGGGUGUGUUAUAGUCCCCGGUCGCAUACAACAGUCGGGAUUGAGGAACUCUCCAUGCCUUUAUGGUCGGGGUUCUCCCACAUUCU